UUUUUUCUAAGAUAAAUUUCUUCUCUCGUUUGUAAACUUUGUCUCUCUUUCAUUUUUACUUCACGCUCUAGAUUGCAGAUAUACUGAUACGAUGACGGAAACUGGUCAAUAGGAUGGAAGGUUAUGGGACAUGUGGAAAGUGACUCAAAAUGAUGAUGUAAAGGGGAUGAUGGAUCUAUAACAACACACAAAAUCUAAAAUGUUUUGGAAGAUGGAAAAUGAUGAUGAUAUUUUGAGUGGAUAAUUCAAGUUUUUUUUUAAAUUUGAUUUCUCACAAUAUUUUAUUGCAAACCAG